UUGUUCUUGCUGUCUCCCUUGGAUCACUUGCUUGGGGGAAACCAGCUGCCAUGUUGUGAGAUGCUCAAGCAGCUGUAUGGAGGAGCCCAUGUGGAAAAAAACUGAGCACCCCUCACAACCGAUAUUCCCUUACCAGGAGUGUGGCAAGCCUCCCUGGAAGCAGACUCUUCAGCACCAGUCAAGCUUUCAGAUGCUGCAGCCAUGGGCAAUGACUUUGCUGCAAUCUUAUGAGAGACUAAGCCAGAACCACCCAGCUAAGUGGCUCCCACAUUCAUGACUCACGAAAACUGUGUGAGAUAAUCAAUGUUUAUUGUUUUAAGCUGCUAAGCUUUGGGGUAAUUUGUUAUAUAGCAAUAGAUAAUAUACUCUGCACUCGAAUUAUUUCCUGUGAGAACUAGAGGUGAAAGUCUUGGUUUUGAGCUAUAAAUUCUUGCUGCUAUCUUGGACUUUUCCUGAGAAUCUGAAUCCUUCAGCACAUCCUAUCACAUUCCACCAAUUCUUGACCUUCUGUUAUCCUCACCAGCCCCCCUGGGCUUUGUUCAAAGUCCUGCAGCACAUGGCCGGGAAUGUAUGAGGACACAUGGUGAAUAGAGGGCUUGCUGGCAAUUGGUUCACAAGCUGAGGAGGGCACAAAGGCCAGAUAUUUCAUCUGAAGAGUUCACAGGCUAUUAAAAACAUUAACAAGGUUUUACUGCCUCACCUAGGAUGGAAAUAAUUGCUUUAAAGUGAACUGGCAUUAAAGUGAAUACGUCAAGACUACCUACUUGGAAGCUACAGGAGACAGAAACAGAAAACACGACUCCUGAAUCAUGUUCCAUUACUUUAAUCGCUAAACACUGCUCCGUUUAAGCUAAAGAGAUAUAAUGGUACAUUUGACAGAUGCCUUCACAUCAAGAUGAGAUAGGGCCCUGAAAGUCGCAUGUUGAACCUUUCUUACCUUCUACGAGGAUGUCACUCAAAAUCUUUUCUCAAUUCCUCUUCACUGGCUGAUUACACAAUACAGAGUCAUUCCUAGUGCAGCCCAACCCUCUCCCCAGGUGAACCUUGCUUUACACAAAACACCUGUGUGUAAAUAACCUGGUAAUCAUUCAAGUUGUAUUCUAAAUGCACCACAGAGAUCUCACUUUUUAAGGAACACUGAAAUAAAUGCUUUAGCGAAGCAGAAUAGCCCUUUUGUAAUGUAAACAAUAUAAGCCUAGAUAAAGCUUCCAAUUUACCUAAGUUUAGAUUUUUGCAUAUUGGGUUUCAUUAAAGCAGCACAUAUCUGUAAAAGAAAAUAUUUUAAGCCUCAGCCCUUUGCCAAUCAUAAUGGUUUUUAAAAAUCUCAUUACAUUAAAACCCAUUAGUUUGAAUAAUUAAAUACCAAAAAAUACUUUCCGCCUGUAUUGAAAUUUCUGAUUUUAAUAGAAAAAACCAACAGAAUGAC
rnacentral:lncRNA from 1 species